CCAUGCCGCGUGUGUGAAGAAGGUCUUCGGAUUGUAAAGCACUUUAAGUUGGGAGGAAGGGCAGUAAGUUAAUACCUUGCUGUUUUGACGUUACCAACAGAAUAAGCACCGGCUAACUUCGUGCCAGCAGCCGCGGUAAUACGAAGGGUGCAAGCGUUAAUCGGAAUUACUGGGCGUAAAGCGCGCGUAGGUGGUUUGGUAAGAUGGAUGUGAAAUCCCCGGGCUCAACCUGGGAACUGCAUCCAUAACUGCCUGACUAGAGUACGGUAGAGGGUGGUGGAAUUUCCUGUGUAGCGGUGAAAUGCGUAGAUAUAGGAAGGAACACCAGUGGCGAAGGCGACCACCUGGACUGAUACUGACACUGAGGUGCGAAAGCGUGGGGAGCAAACAGGAUUAGAAACCCUUGUAGUCCAGACCAAGUCUCUGCCU
rnacentral:rRNA from 1 species